GCAGCAGGCGCGAAACCUUUACACUGCACGUCAGUGCGAUAAGGGGAUCCCAAGUGCGCAGGCAUAGAGCCUGCGCUUUUCUGAACCGUAGGGAGGUUCAGGAACAAGUGCUGGGCAAGACCGGUGCCAGCCGCCGCGGUAAUACCGGCAGCACGAGUGAUGGCCGAUAUUAUUGGGCCUAAAGCGUCCGUAGCUGGCCUGUCAAGUCCGUCGGGAAAUCUACCAGCCCAACUGGUAGGCGUCCGGCAGAAACUGGCAGGCUUGGGACCGGAAGGCUCGAGGGGUACGUCCGGGGUAGGAGUGAAAUCCCGUAAUCCUGGACGGACCGCCGAUGGCGAAAGCACCUCGAGAAGACGGAUCCGACAGUGAGGGACGAAAGCUAGGGUCUCGAACCGGAUUAGAUACCCGGGUAGUCCUAGCCGUAAACGAUGCCUGUUAGGUGUGGCUCCCACUACGAGUGGGUGCUGUGCCGUAGGGAAGCCGCUAAACAGGCCGCCUGGGAAGUACGUCCGCAAGGAUGAAACUUAAAGGAAUUGGCGGGGGAGCACUACAACCGGAGGAGCCUGCGGUUUAAUUGGAUUCAACGCCGG
rnacentral:rRNA from 1 species